rnacentral:rRNA from 1 species
UACAGAGGGGGCAAGCGUUGUUCGGAAUUACUGGGCGUAAAGGGCGCGUAGGCGGCCCGCUAAGUCGAACGUGAAAUCCCCGAGCUCAACUCGGGAACUGCGUCCGAUACUGGUGGGCUUGAAUCCGGGAGAGGGAUGCGGAAUUCCAGGUGUAGCGGUGAAAUUCGUAGAUAUUCGGAGGAACACCAGUGGCGAAGGCGACUCGCUGGAUCAUUGCUGACGCUGAGAUGCGAAAGCGUGGGGAGCAAACAGG